GACGGAGGAUGCAAGCGUUAUCCGGAAUGAUUGGGCGUAAAGCGUCCGCAGGUGGCAGUUCAAGUCUGCUGUCAAAGACCGGGGCUUAACUUCGGAAAGGCAGUGGAAACUGAACAGCUAGAGUAUGGUAGGGGCAGAGGGAAUUCCUGGUGUAGCGGGUGAAAUGCGUAGAGAUCAGGAAGAACAUCGGUGGCGAAGGCGCUCUGCUGGACCAUAACUGACACUCAGGGACGAAAGCUAGGGGAGCGAAUGGG
rnacentral:rRNA from 1 species